GUGGCUGAGUGGCUGAGUGGCUGAGGCAGAGUCGCCGAGCUGAAGCGAGCUGAGGCCAGCGGAGCUGCAAGCCUGGUGACCUUUUUCUUCUGCCCUGAGGAGCAUCUGCUGAUUGUGAUCAGGUGGUGCUUAGCCCAAGUGGCUUGUGCACUGAGUGUUGUGUGAGUCUCUUCAUGGAUUAGAUCAGCUGACAGAAACAAGGAGCCCACGUGGAAACCAGGAGGUGACUUUGCAACAAUGAGAUGCGUCAGCCCCUCACUCUUCAGGAGGUUCUGGGGGCUUUUGCCUCAGUAUGUGUCAGUGGGACCUAGUCAAAGUCCUAACCUCAGUUCCAACCAGUCGUCUUUGAGACAGAGCUGCAGUGUAAGACCUGGGCUGCUGACUGCCCCUGAUGUGGUCAGCUACUGGCAAAAGGUGUUUGAGAAGAACGGGAUCCCUGAAGCACGAGAAUCCAGUGAAUAUAUCGUGUCAUUUGUCUUGGGAGCAAAAACAUUUCAGAGCUUGGACUCCCAAAAGCUCCGCUCUCCGCUUACAGCAGUGCAGCAGGAGCAGAUCCAGCAACUGAGCUGCAAGCGACUGGAAAGAAUGCCAGUGCAAUAUGUGCUUGGUGAGUGGGACUUUCAGGACCUGAAUCUGAAGAUGAGACCUCCAGUAUUUAUUCCUCGUCCUGAAACAGAGGAUCUCAUCUCUCUGGUUGUGGAGGAAGAAUCUCGGAAAUGUGAGGCGAAGAAUUCAGCCUUCUUGAUUGCUGUCUCAUCUCCUGUGAUCCUGGAGAUUGGCUGUGGCUCUGGAGCAAUUGCUCUGAGUCUCCUGUGCAAGAUACCACAGAGCCGAGUGAUAGCUGUGGAUAAAGAAGAGGCUGCUGUGGAUCUCACCAGGGAGAAUGUACAUAGGCUGCAACUCCAAGACAGGAUCCACAUCCUCCACCAUAAUGUUUCAUAUGGUUCUGCCAAACAUCUGCUACCUUGGGGCCCAAUGGACUUCAUAGUCAGUAACCCUCCAUAUGUCUUCCAUGAAGACAUGGCUUCCCUGGAUGCAGAGAUCCUCUGCUAUGAGGACCUUGAUGCACUGGAUGGGGGAGAUGACGGGAUGAGAGUCAUUAAAAUAAUUCUGACUCUGGCUCCUUCUCUUCUGAAGGAUUCUGGGAGUGUGUUUCUGGAAGUUGAUCCCAGGCACCCUGAUUUGGUGGAGGAUUGGCUAUGUGCACAUCCCGACUUGCUCCUCGCCCUUCGUGCUGUUCACAAGGAUUUCUGUGGCAAACCCAGGUUUCUGCACAUCCAAAAGCAGAGCAGAUGACAACUGUACCAGGAACAACAUCCUUUCUUGCAGUAAGCUUUUUCGCUGGUGAGCCCUUCUUGAAUGGCUUCAUGAAAGCUGUGUGACAAAAGAAAUCUCCAUUUUCCAGUGUAUGACUUUUCCAUGCAGUGACAGACUCCUCAUUUCCCAGCACAGACUUCAUCUAGAGUUGCAGAGGAUCGCAGGAGUGUUUGGAAGUGUUUGACCUUCCUCAGGGAACCUCAUGAAACUCUAGUUCACUCCGCUCAAGUGACUCGUUAAUCUCAGGACCAAAUAUAGAAGAGUUCGCAGCUCCAGAUAUUUCCUUGCUGUGAUAGCAAAUUUCAAAGAAAUAUGUUAAAAAUACAGCUUGUCAACAUGUCGUAUCACUCAUUUUGCCUAGGAAGAACAUCACCUUUUUUUUCUUUUUUUUCAACCUUGAGAUAAAUUUUAGAACAUGACCAAGCUGGAUGACAAUGGUCUCAACUCCAGCUUAUAGUAGCUCACGAGUGUGCAGUUAUAAUGGGACAUGACUAACUUGCACACUUCAAAUUCAGGUUUCUUUUUAGGACCCUGAUGCUUUGCUGUAGCUCACCAAAAGCAAAGCAGCCUUUGUUUCCUAGUCCUGCUGAAUGUCAUUGAAACAUCGCUGCACGUUACACCAUGAUUGCUUAGGACAGACAGAGUUCUGAAGCUCAGAUAAAGUGAUUUUGGUCAUACGUGGGUUGAGAUGGAUUUGUGAAGAGAAUAGACAACAAUCUGUGGAUAAGGUAGCCCUUUCCUUUGGAAUAUACUCGUUUGGACUAGAAGGGAGAGCCUUUUAUAUAGACAGUUAAGGACCACAACUGGAAAAGCACCUCUCCCUGACAUGCUUUCACUCCAUAUUUGAGGCUGUAAAGGGUCACUCAAGAGGAAGGAGUUCUUGGUGUUGGUUAAAAUUAUCUGAAUCUACAGCACCUGACACUUUGUGGAUGCUGCCAGAAACAGUAAAACCAUAGUAAUAAAGGUAGUGUUGCCUGUAGGUUAAAUUGAGUCUUGUAAGAAAUGCUUUGCAAUUGAGUUUUCAAACAUGCUAGCAGAUCUGAAUAAAUAUCUGGGAUCCUUAAAUUGUUUCUGAUAGUAAUACUAAUGCUUAACUUCCAGGUAAGGCUUUGAAAUGUGAGACUUUACAAAAAGGCCAGAAUGACUGCUCCAGUUUCUGAGAUGGAGAAGUUGAAAAGCUAGCCAGUGAAGGAAAGAGAGAAGGACACCAAAGGAUCUGGAUCACUCCAAAUGAAAACAUUUGCUGGGCCACGGGAGCUGCAGUGUUCUGAGAUCAUCCUGCCCAUGGUGUGGAGCAUCAGGAAAUGGAUUCUCAUCCCCCAGGCUAGAACUGCAGGGUGGUGAAGAAUUUGCAGUAUGGAAAAGAAGAGUCUACCAUCUAAACAUCCAGGACCAAUGCAAAUGGCAUGGGAAAGGGCUCAACUGUUCUUAAUGACACUUCUGGCAACCUCACUGGACUUGUUUCUCACUUCACUGCUUCUUAUCCUCUUUUAAACAGUAUAACCAUUACAGCUGUCAGCUGGGAGGAUGAUAGUGCCUUGAGAGUUGGAAGUAGUUAUUGCUAUUCCUUUCUCUUUGCCUGAAUAAAAGAUGGGAGAAUGUGGCCUGAGAAGGUUUGGUUUGAGGAGCCUCGACCUUGAGAUGUAGUAUGAGGGCAAUUUUCAGUUUGCAUCACUUGCAGAGUCAUUGCUAAAUACAGCAGGACUUGGGCAUGCAAAAAUUCUGGGCGUGAUGGAGGAGGAGGAGGGAGUGGAUACCAAACCACUUUGUGGUCCAUCUAGAGAAGACAAGAUCCUUCAGAAAGAGUGUGGUCAAACAAAGCUGAGACUUAUAGGAGGGAUGGCCUGUGCUGCCAAGUUCCUGCUUUGCUAGUCUGAAAUGAAGUGCACAGGUGCAGAGCUGAAUGUCCAUAAGGUACUGGCUUUGUACAGGAGGCAAACUGAGUAUCUCUGCUUAAUGUGUGCAUGUCAGAGGGUGAAUGGAACCCCUUCUGCAAUGUGGAUGGUUUGUGGUGGCCCACAGUGAGCAACGGUGCAGCAGUGAACUGAGCAUGGCACUCUGAGCAGCCUCAUUCCAUCAGAAGCACAGCACUGCUCUCAGUGGCACAAAGAUGCUGCUUGCCUGAGUUUCUGUAAACACCAGUUGCAAUGCUAAAUGUGAGUGUAUGAGAGACCAAUGGUUUUUAGUGGGCUAUCUUGAGCAACUCUUAGUGGAAGAUUUGGAUUUCCACUUGGUGCUUGCUGAUGUAGUUUCAGCUGCCUACGUGCAGCUUUCUUCCUGACAGUUAGCUUGUCUCCUGUGUUUGUAUAUGUGCUACAGCAUGGGCUCUGUGGGGCACAGUGUGCUAUCAAGAGCCAGCUGCAGUGGAGUCCUGAACCUAGUAGCCUGAGCUGCUACAAAAGCAGCGUUGCCCAGUGCCUUCUGAUGGCAAAAAUCCUCACUGUUGCUCUGAAAUACACAUAGGUUUGUGUUGGGCUUUGAUAAUCCAGAGUAGGCAGCUGAAGUCUGACCUCAGUGAAGUUGCCCUGCAUGCUCCAGCUGGGCUGAAGUUGACCCACGUGGUGCUAUGCAGUGUUUGUGUUCCAUGAAACAAGGAUCCCCUCAUUGAUUUGAGCCUUUCCAGGGACUUGAGGUUGUAAAGCUGGCAAGACUUUUCUCCUUUUCCACUGCCAUUCACUGAGGAUGACCUUCUGACCAUCCCUUUUGACUUUGAGCUUGCUGCUUCUUUCAAGCCCUCCUCUGACCCUUUGCAAGCCAAGCACAGCGUGUUUGUAUUGCCAUAAUGCCUAAAAGCUGUUCUCACAGGUUGUUCCAUCUCUCUCUAAGCUUUCAGUACUCAUUUCUCCCGCCAGUGUCUUGUGUAACUCUCCUUGUGCCAACACUGUUGGCUUCCAUGGGUGAAGUUCCUUAUGCUAGAUAAUUUGGAAUGAGCUUGUGACAGAAAAAUCCCACUUUAAAAUGCACUUUACUCCUGCAAUGCCUUUCAUCUGAUUUUGUGGCUGAUAGACUUUGCUGAGGUAAAAGUCAUACUGCUAUAAUGUGUUUUGUUUGCAGAUUAAGGCUAUCCUGCACUCAAACAAGACUUACUCAUUUAAUGUGUAUGGACAGGGGGCACUCAGGCUGCAAGGAGUUUUUGUACAUCAGCUUCCAGAUCAGUGAGUUUUUAGUCUCAUUUGUGUCAGCAGACAGCAGCCCUUUGUUCAGCAUCAUAACCUUUUCCGCCUCAGUGACGCACAGACACACACGUUUGUGAUGCAGAUCCUGAAUGUGCAGUAAACUCCAUGGAUAAGUUCCAUAAGCCCAGCAAAGACAUUAUGUGUCUUACUUGGAGGAUCAGCUGCGUGCUCUAUUGACCAGUGUUGAAGCCAAGAUUGUGAAGGCAGUUAAUUAUUCAUUUAUUUUUGCUUUUCCAUCCAUCAUUGCCUAUGUGAGAAAGAAAAAGGGAGUAGAUAGUGAGUGAAGUGUUUGCUUUGAACAGAUUGCCUUUGUCAGUUCUAAAAAUCAGGAUAAAUAUAUUAGUUAAGUAUUAUUUAAUUUAGCAGCUGAAUAACAUUGUUUCUAAGAAGGGCCAGGGUGAGAAGGCCAGGAUAGGUUAUGAGCAUGAAAGGGCCUGAGUCAUGGACACGGAAGUUUAAAGAUGAAGGCAUCUGGCUGUUGCUGGUACCCUGAUGGCAGCAGUAACUGCUUGCAGCCCCAGUCCGCGACAGCUGGAUCCUGCUAGCAGCUCCUCUUCUCAUGCAGAGUGUGGAAAAGCAAGGAGCGCCUGGGAGGCACCAUCCUGCUGCGGAUGGUGUGCCCGUUCAGGGAGCUCGGAGGUAUUGCAGUGCUGAAGAAGCUCGUGUGGGCACCUCAAGCGUCCCAGUGCUGGUAGUACACAGGAGCAUGACACUUCGCUCAAGAACUGACCUGCUGCUGUUCUGGCUGAAGGGCCCUUUUCUGUGCUCUUCUGACCCAGCAGUGCCUUACUCCUCCACCAAAACCGCGCUCAGCCCUGAUGCGCUCACAUCCUGCUGGGCUCUACCCUCCUGCAUCCUUGCUGUGGGUUCUUGCAGAAUUCCCUCCAUCCUGAUCCUCUCGGACUUUGUCCCUAACAAAAAAGCUCGGCUCAGGCUUCUCAGAAUUAAUAUGCGUUGCCCUAACUCAGAACUUCCACUUUCUGGGAAGUUCUGUCAGUUAAAGCUUGUUUGUUCUUUAUUUUCCCCUUCUUUAACCAGAAUUAAAUAGUUCACUUUUUAGAUUUCCCAUGACGAAUGCUGUAUCCCAGAUUUUGAUUUUAGAAAUGCUUUGCUCUGUGAUUUCUGAAUUUUCAUUUUGAAUUACAUUCAUUUAAAGUUGUUGUACAACUUAUGCUGAUUUGCUAAGUAUGCACUGAUAGUCAGAGUAUGUGUAUUGUGUAGGAAAACAUUGUUUUGAUCAGCUGCUGCAUAGUAGGAUUGAAACAUCUUAUCUUAUUCCCUAGAACAGGAAGUCCAUUGUUUGCUAUGUAAUGAAAGCUUGGCAGUGCCAUUAUGACACCCAGGAACGUCUUCAUCUAAGAAAGCAGUUUCAGUGGUGUGAAGGGAGCUGUAGUGGUGGGCAGGCCAAGGCAGUCUCAUCCUGGGACUGUGGACUUCACUCGAGAAAAGAUGAUUCCCAGCCCUUGUGGUGACAGGGAAGAGCCUGGAAAGGAUGACUUCCUCCAGACUCAGCAGCCUAAGGGCCAAAAGCGGCCCCUGCAGCCACUCCACCCUGACAGCCCUUCAGUCUAUUGAUUCCCAAGACCUGGCACAGGGCUCAGCCCCUCAGAUGAGCCCUGUGCUGUUCACCUGGAUGGAGCAGGAGGGCCCUGCUGAGUUCCUGGAAUAGCUGUCUCUUCAAUACCAGGAAGUAGUUUUCCUGCAUCGUAGCCUGAUUUUAGACAGUGCUGUGUGACAUAAAUUAACUUCACGUUGCUAGUCAUCCCCAAGGCUCAAUUCUUUCAAGCCUUUAUGUUAGAGAAAGUGUCUCUGCAUGAGGCCACAUGAAGUUCUGUGUAUCUCCCCAGUGAACCCCCAGGCAGUGUUUGUUUCAGCCAGAGCUGCAGCCCAGCCUGGCGUUGUACUGCAUGCAGGGCCCAGCUUGGCCCAGCAGCUGGCAGGCCCCGGUCUGGCACCAGGCAUCACCCCUGGGCCUGCACUCAACAAAUCGCCCGUCCUGCUCACCACAGGGCCAGCGGAAGGGAGCGGGCCUCUCCCUGGGGUUCAGUGGGACUUCCUGGAAGCGCUGCAAGGAGCUUCCAAGAGCUGAAACAUGACACAUGGUUCUGUGCAUGUGUGUUAAGAGUCUGGCUGAAAGACAGAGGGAGCGUGGUUCCAUGGGCCUCAAAGAGCCUCCCCCUCACAGCUCUGCCGUGCAGCGUUGGGUUGGCUGGGCUUGGAUGGGGUGUCCCAGAGACUGGACACAGGCUGGUUCUUUGCGAAGCGUGGCUUUCUGUGUGGCAUAGGGUGAGCAGGCUCUGCUGGGGUGCCGGUAGCUUGCAUUCUCUGCUUCACAAAUUAAUGCUUUACUAGGAAUUAAGGACAUCGAGUCUGUCCUUCAGACAGCAAAGAUGAUGGAAAGGUCUUUUUUUCAUAUUUUUUUUCCACUAGCAUGGAAAACAUAUGCUGCUCAUCUCGUUACUGAUAAUAGCCCAGGAAUGCUGCAUCCCAGCAGCAAUGGCCCUGUGCCUCACUCAGCAGGUAACAGCCCUGUUGUGCACUUGGAUAUGGACAGAUGAAGCCAGCAGCAGUACUCAUGCAAAAAUCAUGAGUUUAAGCACUAGUUUGAGAAUCCUGCAAACAGGGAAGAUAUGGAAAGUCCCCAGCUUUAAGCUUUCAAAAGGGAAGAAAAGGAGAGCCUGCAGCCCAGCUGUGUGGGGAGGGGGUCUUGGACUGCUGGAAAAGAGGGAGGUGGGCCUGGCAGCCUGGGCAGCAGGGGAAUAGGAGGGCACCACUGGGAAUUAGCUCAGCAAGUGUCAGGUUUGCUGCUGUCAAAGAGAAGCAUUGUGAAAGUGGUCAGAUCUUAACACUGAGCAUGUGAGAAGGCUGGCAUCUACUCUCGGAAACCCAUGGCAGCUGAUUACCAGCCCUGUUUUUUCUUUUGUGUAUUAUGUGACUACAUUUUUCCAUUUCUUCUUGACCUCUGUUCAUCUACCUGAAUUCUUCAGCCUUUAAACAAAGAGGCUAUGAAACAGAAUAGAGUAUAUUGAAUUUAUAUUAGAGGUGGCAUAAUCUUGCAGCAACUGCUCUGGCUGCAUCCUUAAGAGCCUCUUUAGCAGGAGAAGCCUGCCCUGGCAGUGCCAUUGUGCCCCAGGGCAGCUUGUGGCUGGGAAAGCCAAGGAAUGGUUGUACAUGCCCAAGGCAUUGUGAGUCCUCUGCUCACCUGGGGAAGCCACCAGUUUGGACAUUUCCUAAUAACAAGAGGCCUCGUUCUUCCUGCUGUUCUGAAAUUGUGUGCAUCUGAGUCCUGUCCUGGAGUGCUGGGAGAUUUUCUCACUGUCUCUCUGAGGGUUUUCUCCAAAUAUACCUGUUGGUUCCAAAGCA